UCAGAGUUGAUCUGGCUCAGGACGAACGCUGGCGGCGUGCCUAACACAUGCAAGUCGAACGGAAGUUAGAGCUUCGGUUUUAACUUUAGUGGCGAACGGGUGAGUAACGCGUGAGGAACCUGCCUUUCAGUGGGGGACAACAGUUGGAAACGACUGCUAAUACCGCAUGACACUUUUGGGAGACAUCUCCUGGAAGUCAAAGCUUUAUGUGCUGAAAGAUGGCCUCGCGUCUGAUUAGCUGGUUGGUGAGGUAACGG
rnacentral:rRNA from 1 species